GUCUGUGUAGCUUAGUUGGUAUAGUGUAAGACUCUUAAUCUUGUGGUCAUGGGUUCAAGCCCCACGGUAGGCA
rfam:Zea mays cultivar B73 chromosome 3, whole genome shotgun sequence.